UACGUAGGGGGCUAGCGUUGUCCGGAAUUACUGGGCGUAAAGGGCUCGUAGGUUGCCAACUAAGUCAGACGUGAAAUCCCUCAGCUUAACUGGGGAACUGCGUCUGAUACUGGAUGGCUUGAGUUUGGGAGAGGGAUGCGGAAUUCCAGGUGUAGCGGUGAAAUGCGUAGAUAUCUGGAGGAACACCGGUGGCGAAGGCGGCAUCCUGGACCAACACUGACACUGAGGAGCGAAAGCCAGGGGAGCAAACGGG
rnacentral:rRNA from 1 species